rnacentral:rRNA from 1 species
AGUCGAGGGGCAGCACAGGUAGCAAUACCGGGUGGCGACCGGCGCACGGGUGAGUAACGCGUAUGCAACUUGCCUAUCAGAGGGGGAUAACCCGGCGAAAGUCGGACUAAUACCGCAUGAAGCAGGGGCCCCGCAUGGGGAUAUUUGCUAAAGAUUCAUCGCUGAUAGAUAGGCAUGCGUUCCAUUAGGCAGUUGGCGGGGUAACGGCCCACCAAACCGACGAUGGAUAGGGGUUCUGAGAGGAAGGUCCCCCACAUUGGUACUGAGACACGGACCAAACUCCUACGGGAGGCAGCAGUGAGGAAUAUUGGUCAAUGGGCGCGAGCCUGAACCAGCCAAGUCGCGUGAGGGAUGAAGGUUCUAUGGAUCGUAAACCUCUUUUAUAAGGG